UUAGAUGUCCGGGGCCGCACGCGCGCCACACUGAAGGAAUCAGCGUGUGAUUUCCCUGUCCGGAAGGACUGGGUAACCCGUUGAAACUUCUUCGUGAUAGGGAUAGGAGCUUGUAAUUGUUCUCCUUGAACGAGGAAUUUCCAGUAAGCACGAGUCAUAAGCUCGUGCUGAUUACGUCCCUGCCCUUUGUACACACCGCCCGUCGCUACUACCGAUUGAAUGAUUUAGUGAGGUCUUCGGACUGGCGCUCGGAGCGGCCUCCGGCCGGGCCGACGUGCCGGAAAGAUGACCGAACUUGGUCAUUUAGAGGAAGUAAAAGUCGUAACAAGGUUACC
rnacentral:rRNA from 1 species